AUUGAACGCUGGCGGCAGGCCUAACACAUGCAAGUCGAACGAGUGGCGGACGGGUGAGUAAUGUAUGGGGAACUGCCUGAUGGAGGGGGAUAACUACUGGAAACGGUAGCUAAUACCGCAUACCAUCGGAUGAACCCAGAUGGGAUUAGCUUGUAGGUGGGGUAACGGCUCACCUAGGCGACGAUCCCUAGCUGGUCUGAGAGGAUGAUCAGCCACACUGGAACUGAGACACGGGCCAGACUCCUACGGGAGGCAGCAGUGGGGAAUAUUGCACAAUGGGCGCAAGCCUGAUGCAGCCAUGCCGCGUGUAUGAAGAAGGCCUUCGGGUUGUAAAGUACUUUCAGCGAGGAGGCGUUACUCGCAGAAGAAGCACCGGCUAACUCCGUGCCAGCAGCCGCGGUAAUUC
rnacentral:rRNA from 1 species